AACGAACGCUGGCGGCAGGCUUAACACAUGCGAGUCGAACGCAUCCUUCGGGGUGAGUGGCAGACGGGUGAGUAACGCGUGGGAACGUGCCCUUCAGUUCGGAAUAACCCAGGGAAACUUGGGCUAAUACCGGAUACGUGCGAGAGCAGAAAGAUUUAUCGCUGAAGGAUCGGCCCGCGUCUGAUUAGCUAGUUGGUGAGGUAAUGGCUCACCAAGGCGACGAUCAGUAGCUGGUCUGAGAGGAUGAUCAGCCACAUUGGGACUGAGACACGGCCCAAACUCCUACGGGAGGCAGCAGUGGGGAAUAUUGGACAAUGGGCGCAAGCCUGAUCCAGCCAUGCCGCGUGAGUGAUGAAGGCCUUAGGGUUGUAAAGCUCUUUCGUCCGGGACGAUAAUGACGGUACCGGAAGAAGAAGCCCCGGCUAACUUCGUGCCAGCAGCCGCCGUAACAC
rnacentral:rRNA from 1 species